rnacentral:rRNA from 1 species
UACGACUACAUAUCAGGCAUAUCAAUAAGCGGAGGAAAAGAAACUAACUAGGAUUCCCUUAGUAACGGCGAGUGAAGCGGGAAGAGCUCAAAUUUGAAAUCUUCAAGGGUUCUACCUUUACGAAUUGUAGUUUAAAGAAGUGUUUUCUGUUGGAGUUUUGGUAAAAGUUCUUUGGAAUAGGACAUCAUAGAGGGUGAGAAUCCCGUAUUUGACCAUUUCUUCCAGCUGUGUGAUACACUUUCAAAGAGUCGGAUUGUUUGGGAAUGCAGUCCAAAAUGGGUGGUAAAUUUCAUCUAAAGCUAAAUAUUGGCGAGAGACCGAUAGCGAACAAGUACCGUGAGGGAAAGAUGAAAAGAACUUUGAAAAGAGAGUUAAACAGUACGUGAAAUUGUCAAAAGGGAAGCGUUUGACACCAGUGUUGUUUUCUCGAAAAUCAAUUAAAAAUGACCGGAUUUUGUGUUGUAUUGACUUUAUCAGCUUUCUGCACUUUUUUCUUGUCUUUUUUAAUGCACUUUUCGUUUAACAAGUCAACAUCAAUUUCUUUUGUUGUAAAAGAGUCAUUGGAAGGUGGCUUUCACUUCGGUGAAAGUGCUUAUAGCCUUUGACUUCUGCAAUCGGAGAGAUUGAGGUCUGCAGCGUAGAUCCUUCGGGGUUAGAUACAUUUGUGCUAAGUUAUAGUUUUUCAUAGACAACAUGUUGACUAUGAUUAAUCAUGUAGCUUACUCGCUUAUGCUAUUUUACCUACGCUUAGGAUGUUGACGCGCGUGUGUGCGUG